rnacentral:tRNA from 1 species
GGUGUACCUGGAGCAGCGAGCAGUCUGUCGGCUUGGGUCCGACCGGCUUCCCGUCUGGACGACGUUUCGUUCCAUGCGGGAGGUUUGAUG